UAGAGCACAACAUGGCUUCUAUCUCUCCAAACUCAGUGUUGUUCAUCCACCAUGAGUUUGAGGGGGGGGGUGUUAGAGUAGUAUAUAUAGCCAUGUAGCCUUUUGUCUUUACCCCAUUGUAUAAGGGGUUUUCUGCAUAUUUCCUGCACCUGUACAUGUAUAUAUACUGGCCUAUGGCCCCAUGGGAAUACAAGUUGCAUAUUCCUAACAAAGAGAACCAAAGUCUGCUCACCAAGGAUUCCACACAACAGCUUGGAGAUACUCUCCACCAGAGUCACCAUAGAACACAUGAAUAGGCGUAGAGAAUUGAGUGUGAAGCAUGGCAGCAAAAGGCUUAUAGAUAAGACCUCACUACGAGAAGAAAUAAAGUAUAUAUCCAGGUGUGUUGAGAGAAGUCACUAGCGGAGGCAAAUGGAGAUGAUCCCUCGAGAUCAGAGUGAACAAUGUCUAAAGGAUGCUGAGACAUUGUCUCGCCAUGAGUAUAAGGUAACUGGACCACAUAUUAGAGACAUCACCGGAGACGGAUCCAAGAAGAUCAUGUCGAACUAAGGAUGAGAGAUCACAAGUGACCCAAGGUGAUGAUGCCACUCUUGAAAAUAUCUAGUAGACAAGGCAACAGAGGCAGAGACUGGUGGCACUGGCAGUAGAGGGACUUGAUCCGGCAUCCCACUUGCGUGUGCACUCUUCGUAGCCCGCCGUUAUGGCUGGGUGCUCCUUUCCUGUUUGCGGGUUGUGUGCCACGUGCUUGAUUAAGCACCCCAGGUUCUCCUACUGUGCGCCCUUGGCCUCGACUUUAGGUAGCGCCUGUCCUCGGCUCGUCUCGUGCAUAAUCCAGGUACGCGUCGACUGUCCGAGCUCCUGCUCACCAUUGGUGGCGCUUGAGCGUGCGGUUAUGGUGUCACACAUAAAGGGAACACGGGAUGUGGGAUUGAGACAGUGCUUGUAGCAACCCGCGGCAAGGCAAAGGAUGCCCAUCCAGACUGGUAGGGAGCGGAGGUGGUCACAAAGGUGGACGUUGCUAGUGAUGAUCCUGGUGCCAGUGAUGAUCGACAUGUAGAAGAAGUGUUCGACCACGAGCCUUCACCAAGGCAAUGUACUUAGAGUCGUUGCCAGUGAUGAUUGACAUGUAGAAGAAGUGUUCGACCACGAAUUGAAUGGUGGACCGAAAGUGUAGGAUAAUGAGCACUCGCCAAAAACUAGCCGCAAUCAGCACUGAGACGAAGCGCUCAAAGCAGGCACGAGGGGUUUGCUUAGGGCCAUAUAGACAGCUACGAAGACGACAAACCAUGCUAUUAGGAAGAGAACCGAGGUGGUGGCUACUUGUAGGCAUUCUUGACAUCAAGCUGAGAGACAGACUAGCGGCGAAUAGAAGCCACAUUGAGAAGUGUGCGAAGAGUGGUCAUGUCGGCCAUAUAUAUAGGAGUAAAUGUCUCUUUGUAGUGAUGACCAUGUUCUCACCAGUAAACGAGCUUUGUUAUGCUCAAGAGUAUCAUCAGUCUUAGCCUUGUAGACCCACUUACAAGUGAUGAGACGAGAAUGAGGAAGGGAAAUGGGAUUCCACGUGCCGAUGCGGCAAGAGCAUCAAUCUUCGAUGCCAUCACAUGUAGCCAUUUGGGAUGAACAACCUCACGGCAAGAAGUCGUCUCUAGAAGAGCUGCGUAGUAACCAUAGCGGUCAAUAGGUAGAAGUGGGCGAACUCGAAAGCCAUAAGUAGACUAAGCUGGAGGCGGUGCGUUGCCAACGAAAGAAGAUAUAAUAGUCGAGGCAGAUGGCUUAUCAGAAGGAUCCACAACACGCGUACCAUGUGUGUAGUAAAGUCGAGGAACAUGAGCAAAAGAAGGAACAUAUAAAAAGUCAAAGUGAGUCAUAACAUUCCCACCAAGUGAUGGGACGAACACGAGGAGGAAGAGAAACAAUAUCCCACGUGCCGAUGUGCUGAAGAGCAACAAUCUCCUCUGCCAUCGCAAGGUGCCAUUUGGUAUGAAUAACAUCACGAUAAGAAGUCGGCUCAAGAACACCAGCGCCAACGCUUGGAAGACUAAGGAGGCGGUCAACAUGCGGAAGCGGACAAGGAAGCAAGCCAUAAGUAGGCCGAGAGGGGAAGUUGCACAUCGGUAGACACAUUCACAACACGCAGACGAUGUAUAUAAAAGUGAGGAAAAGACGGAAGAAUACGAGCAGAAAUCAUCGGGAUAAACUCAGGUGAUGGAGACAAGGAAGCCACAACUGAUGAAGGUGUAGAAUCUUGUGAUAAGCGAGGUGAGGAAAUCAUAGGAGAUGAUGGCAUUGGAUCUGCAAUUAUCGGAGAAGUAGGAGCAGUACAAUGAAUGGAUAAGGGAGUGACAUGAGUGUUGGAUUUAAAAAAAGAAGAGAUUUCCUCCAUUGAAAAGGUCGAGGAAGAUGGACGCGGGUAGAAGGAUGAGACUCAUCGAAAGUCAUAUCCCGAGAAAUAGGCAUCCGACGCCCAACAUGAUACCAAUAAUGAUAUCCCUUAUGCUCAUCGUUUAUCCUAAGAAGACACACUCAACGGACUGAGUAGUCAGUUUGGUGCGUUCACGUGGGUAAGAAGGACAUAGCAAACACAACCAAACAAUUGAAGCGCUGAAUAAUCAGGAAAGAAUCAAAUAGACGGUCGAAAGGAGCGCCACCCUGCAGAGUAAUGGAUUGCUGAAGGUUGAUGAGAUAGAUGGAAUUGGAGACAGACUCGACCCACAAGUGCGGUGAAAGAGAGGCGGUGACCAUCAAUGGAGGAGCCGUCUCAAGAAGGUGACGAUGCUUGCGCUCAGCCACACCAUUUAGAUCAUGAGCACCAGGAUAAGAGAACCAAAGUCUGCUCAGCAAGGAUUCCAUGCAACAGCUUGGAGAUAUACUCUCCACCUGAGUCACCAUAGAACACAUGAAUAGGCGUAGAGAAUUGAGUGUGAACCAUGGCAUCAAAAGGCUUAUAGAUAAGACCUCGCUAUGAGAAGAAAUAAAGUAUAUAUCCAGGUGUGUAGAGAGAAAUCACUAGCGGAGGCAAAGGGAGAUGAUCCCUCGAGAUCAGAGUGAUCAAGGUCUAAAGGACGCUGAGACAUUGUCUCGCAAUGAGCAUAAGGUAACUGGACCACGUAUUAGAGACAUCAUCGAAAACGGAUCCAAGAAGAUCACGUCAAACUAAGGAUGAGAGAUCACAAGUGACCCAAGGCGGUGACGCCACUCUUGAAACUAUUUGUUAGACAAGGCAACAGAGGCAGAGACUGGCGGCACUGGCAGUAGAGGGACUUGAUCCGGCAUCCCACUUGACUGUGCACUCUUCGUACCCCGCCGAUCUGGCUAGGUGUUCCUUUCCUGUUUGUGGGUUGUGUGCCACGUGCUUGAUUAAGCACCCCAGGUUCUCCUACUGUGCGCCCUUGGCCUCGACUUUAGGUAGCGCCUGUCCUCGGCUCGUCUCGUGCAUAAUCCAGGUACGCGUCGACUGUCCGAGCUCCUGCUCACCAUUGGUGGCGCUUGAGCGUGCGGUUAUGGUGUCACACAUAAAGGGAACACGGGAUGUGGGAUUGAGACAGUGCUUGUAGCAACCCGCGGCAAGGCAAAGGAUGCCCAUCCAGACUGGUAGGGAGCGGAGGUGGUCACAAAGGUGGACGUUGCUAGUGAUGAUCCUGGUGCCAGUGAUGAUCGACAUGUAGAAGAAGUGUUCGACCACGAGCCUUCACCAAGGCAAUGUACUUAGAGUCGUUGCCAGUGAUGAUUGACAUGUAGAAGAAGUGUUCGACCACGAAUUGAAUGGUGGACCGAAAGUGUAGGAUAAUGAGCACGAUAAUGAGCACUCACCAAGAAGAUCACGUCGAACUAAGGAUGAGAGAUCGCAAGUGACCCAAGGCGAUGAUGCCACUCUUGAAAAUAUCUGGUAGACAAGGCAACAGAGGCAGAGACUGGCGGCACUGGCAGUAGAGGGACUUGAUCUGGCAUCCCACUUGCUUCUUCGUACCCCGCCGAUCUGGCUGGGUGUUCUUUUCCUGUUUGCGGGUUGUCCUCGGCUCGUCCCGUGCAUAAUCCAGGUACGCCUUGACUGUCCGAGCUCCUGCUCACCAUUGCUGGUGCUCGAGCGUGCGAUUAUGGUGUCACACAAAUAGAGAACACGAGAUGUAGGAUUGAGACAAUGCUCAUAGCAACCCGCAGCAAGGCAAAGGAAGUCCAUCCAGACUGGUAGGGAGCGAGGUGGUCACAAAGGUGGACGUUGACUCCAUAGGAGUCUCAACCGUGCGGUCAUCAGUAAGAGUAGCACGAGUAAGAAGAUCCUGGACAUACUUCUCUUAGAAACUAAAGAAGUCAUUAGAUGUAGAACCUCUAUCUCCACGAAUACCGACGAGGACCGAGAUUGGGCAUAAGAAAUUAACUAUAACGAGCCUUCACCAAGUCAAUGUACUUAGAGUCGUUGCCAGUGAUCAUCGACAUGUAGAAGAAGUGUUCGACCACGAGUUGAAUGGUGGACUGAAAGUGUAGGAUAAUUAGCACUCGCCAAAAACUAGACGAAGCGCUCAAACCAGGCACGAGGGGUUUGCUUAGGGCCAUAUAGACAGUGAUGAAGACGACAAACCAUGCCAUUAGGAAGAGAACCUAGGUGGUGGCUACUUGUAGGCAUUCUUGACAUCAAGUUGAGAGACAGACUAGCGGCGAAUAGAAGCCACAUUGAGAAGUGUGCGGAGAGUGGUCACGUGGGCCAUAUAUAUAGGAGCAAAUGUCUCUUUGUAGUCAUGACCAUGUUCUCACCACUAAACGAGCUUUGUAACGCUCAAGAGUAUCAUCACUCUUAAGCUUGUAGGAAGGGCACGAGAAGGAAGGGAAAUGAGAUUCCACGUUUCGAUUCGGGCAAGAGCAUCAAUCUUCUAUGCCAUCACAUGCAUCCACUUGGGAUGAACAACCUAACGACAAGAAGUCGUCUCGGGAAGAGCUGCGCAGUAACCAUAGCGGUCAAUAGGUAGAAGCGGGUGAGCUCGAAAGCCAUAAGUAGGCUAAGCUGGAGGCGGUGCCUUGCCAACGAAAGAAGAUAUCAUAGUCGAGGGAGAUGGCUUAUCAGAAGAAUCCACAACACGCGGACCACGAGUGUAGUGAGUCGAGGAACAUGUGCAAAAGAAGGAACAUAUAAAAAGUCAAAGUGAGUCAUAACAUUCCCACCAAGUGAUGGGACGAACACGAGGAGGAAGAGAAACAAUAUCCCACGUGCCGAUGCGCUCAAGAGCAACAAUCUCCUCUGCCAUCGCAAGGUGCCAUUUGGUAUGAAUAACAUCACGAUAAGAAGUCAGCUGAAGAACAUCAGCGCCAACGCUUCGAAGACCAAGGCGGUUAACAGGCGGAAGCGGGCGAGGAAGCAAGCCAUAAGUAGGCUAAGAGGGGAAGUGGCACAUCAGUAGACACAUUCACAACAUGCGACCGUGUAUAUAAAAGUGAGGAAAAGAUGGAAGAAUACGAGCAGAAAUCAUCGGGAUAAACUCAGGUGAUGGAGACAAGGAAGCCACAACUAAUGAAGGUGUAGAAUCUUGUGAUAAGCGAGGUGAGGAAAUCAUAGGAGAUGAUGGCAUUGGAUCUGCAAUUAUCGGAGAAGCAGGAGCAGUACAACGAAUGGAUAAGGGAGUGAUAGGAGUGUUGGACUUAAAAAAAUAGAGAUUUACUCCAUUGAAAAGGUCGAGGAAGAUGGACGCAGGUGACCCAAGGCGAUGAUGCCAGUGCUGAAAAUAGCUGAUAGGCAAGGCAACAGAGUCUAAGACCGGCGGCGAUAGCAGCGAAGGGACUUGAUCCAACAUCCCACGUGCCUAUGCACUCUUCGUACCCUGCCGAUUCGGCUUGGUGUUCUUCUCCUGUUUGCGGGUUGUGUGCCACACACUUGAUGAAGCACCCCAGGUUCUCCUACUAUGCGCCCUUGGUCCUGGCUUUAGGUGGUGCCUUGUCCUCGGCUCGUCCCGUGCAUAAUCCAGGUACGUGUCAACUGUUCGAGCUAUUGCUCACCAUUGGUGGUGCUCGACCGUGUGGUUAUGGUGUCGCGCAACAAGGGAACACGGGAUGUAAGAUUGAGACAGUGCUCAUAGCAACCCUCAGCAAGGCAAAGGAUGCCCAUCUAGACUUGCAUGGAGCGGAGGUGGGCACAAAGGUGGACGUUGACUCCAUAGGAGUCUCAACAGUGCGCUCAUUAGUAAGUGUAGCACGAGCAAGAAGAUCCUGGAUAUACUUCUCUUAGGCAGUAAUGAACAAUCUCAAGGAAGUAGCGAAGAGGAUCAAGAUCAGACAUACGAAAUUCACUAUGACGAGCCUUCACGAAGGCAAUGUACUUAAGAGUCGUCGCCAGUGAUGAUUGACAUGUAGACGAAGUGUUCGACCACCAGUUGAAUGGUGGACUGAAAGUGCAGGAUCAUGAGCACUCGCCAAAAACCAGCCGCAAUCACCAUUGAGACGAAGCGCUCAAACCAGGCAGAGGGUUGGCUUAGGGCCCUAUGGACAGUGACGGAGACGACAAACCAUGCCAUCAGGAAGAGAACCCAGGUGGUGGCUACUUGUUGGCAUUCUUGACAUCAAGCUGAGAGACAGACUAGCGGCGAAUAGAAGCCACAUUGAGAAGUGUGGGAAGAGUGGCUGUGUGGGCCAUAUAUAUAGGAGCAAAUGUCUCAUCGUAGUCAUGACCAUGUUCUCACUACUAAACGAGCUUUGUAACAUUCAAGAGUAUCAUCAGUCUUAACCUUGUAGACCCACUUACAAGUGAUGAGACAAGCACGAGGAGGAAGGGAAAUGAGAUUCCACGUGCCGAUGCGGGCAAGAGCAUCAAUCUUCGAUGCCAUCACAUGCAGCCAUUUGAUAUGAACGACCUCACGGUAAGAAGUCGUCUCGGGAAGAGCUGCGCAGUAACCUUAGCGGUCAAUAGGCAGAAGCGGGCGAGCUGGAAAGCCAUAAGUAGGGUGAGCUGGAGGAAGUGUGUUGCCAACAAAAGAAGAUAUAAUAGUCGAGGGAGAUGGCUCAUUAGAAGAAUCCACAACAUGCGGACCACGAGUAGUCAAAGUGCCAAAGAGUGCCUUUACUAUCUACUGGGAGGGAAGUACGAUCGGCAGUAAGAACAUGAAUAGGAGAAUAUGGAGGUGGAUUGGAGGACAAAUUAGAAGAAUCAUAAGUUGUAUGACCAAGGAUACAUGGAGGUGUACCUGAUAUUGUAAAGUGGUCUCUUGGUACCAUUAGAGUAAGUAGCAAAACCUUGAAAACCUAUCGAUGGAGAACCAAAAGAAGCAGCUACCAGACAUUGACCUCAUGUAAUCUCUAGCGUAGUUAGGGGCUCAAUUGAAGAGGUCGACGAAGAAGCAUCACGAGAUGAAGAAUCACUCAAUUUUCUAGAAGCGCUCAGGGAUUGGGGAUCGUUCCAACCGGUUUUUUAGUUUCAUCUUUUAUCUGUUUUUCGCUAUCUUUUUGUUUUUUGCCAAACCGGAAAGGUCGAGGAAGAUGGACAAAGGUAGAAGGAAGAAACUCAUCAAAAGUCAUAUCCCGAGAAGUAGGCAUCUGGGGACCAACAUGAUCCCAACAACGAUAUCGCAUGUGCUCAUCGUUGUAUCCUAAGAAGAGACACUCUACAGACUGAGCAGUCAGUUUGGUGCAUUCAUGUGGGGCAAGAAGGACAUAACAAACAUAACCAGACAAUUGAAGUGCCAAAUAAUAAGGAAACAAUCAAAUAGACGCUUGAAAGGAGUGCCACCCUGCAGAGCAGUGGAUUGCUGAAGAUUGAUGUGACAGAUGGAAGUGGAGACAGACUCGACCCAAAAGUGCGGCGGAAGAGAGUUAGUGACUAUCAACGGACGAGCCGUCUCAAGAAGGUGACGAUGCUUGCACUCAGCCACGCCAUUCUAAGCAUGUGCACCAGGACAAGAGAACUGAGCAAGGACUACACGUAACAGCUUGGAGAAUAUAUUCUCGGGCAAAGUCAGCAUAGAACACAUGAAUAGGCGUAGAGAACAGAGUGUGAACCAUGGCAGCAAAAGACAUAUCUAGAUAAGACCUCGCUACGGGGAGAAAUAAAGCAUAUCAAUGUGUGUCAAGAUAAAUCAUCUAUAUAUAUUCUCCAGCAGAGUCAGCAUAGAACACACGAAUAGGCGUAGAGAACUGAGUGUGAACCAUGGCAGCAAAAUGCUUAUAUAUAGAUAAGACCUCACUAUGGGAGAAAUCAGGGCCGGGCCAGCAAAAUUAGAGUCCCUGUGCGAAACUCAUCCCCACAAUAGAAAAUUAAACAGGUGUAGUGUAUAUAUCAUAAUGUCUUACAUAGCAAGGAAUAUAUUCAAGAAUCAUACAUAUUCGAAGCUUGGUUGAAUAUUCUUUACUUGAAUAACAACAUUCUUUUAGUGUUCUUUGAAAUGAAAUCUUCAAUUAUAUCCUCGUAAUCAAUGUUCUCCAACACUUCACUCUCAAGUGCUAUUGUGCCCAAAUCAAUAAGCCUUUGUUGUGUCAUUGUAGUACACAUAUAGGACUUCAAUAGCUUUAAUUUUGAAAAGCUUCUUUCUGCUGAUGCAACAGUCACAUGAAUGGUCAAUAGAAAUAUGUAUGCAACACCUGCAUUGGGAAAGCACCUGCAUUGGGCCCCAUAUCAUCCUUUGGAAUGGAAUCUUUAAGUAACCUCAACUCCACUGCAGUUCAUUGGCAUCAAUGUCAGAUUUGCCAUCUUUUUUAAGGGCUGCCUCAAGUUUAUCACAAGAAGAUUUCAAGCUCUCAUUAUCCAAUGACUGCAAUGAUUUGGAAGUAAAUAAGAAACGAAAAUCUUCCUGCUAACCUCAUAUUGUUCAAAUCUGCUUGUAAGUGACAUAAUUGCUUGAUCAACAAUAGUUGUAAAAUAACCGUUUCUAAAUGAUUCCUCUGCAGACUGUGUGGCAACAUUUGUGUCAUCUGGGUUCUCAUCAAAAUGUCUCUUUCUUCUAAUUUCUCGUCUUUCACGAAAUCUUGUACUAAUAACCAUAUCAAGUACAAUUUUUUUUGCUAUCUCCAAUGCUUCUAACUAGCCACUUUCUCUAUACCCUUCGAAAAAAAAUCAACCCUUUCACUUUCUCAAUAGCAACAUCUAUAAGCAUAUCCUUUGCUUGCAAGUGUUUGCUUACUAAAUUAACAAUAUAUAAUAUCUCAUGCUCUUUAGGUGUACUGCCAAGAUGUAUCCAAUCAUCACACCCCUCGUUUGCCAACUGACCUUUUCUAUGCCCUUUUGUAAAUAAUUUACAACCAAAGAAAAAUAGUCUAUUGAGGUCCUUAGAAUAGACAAACCAAUCUCUAUCGCAAUGCUCCCCAUUUGACAUAAUUCUAGUAUAGAAUAGUGCAGAAAAACCUGCUAGAAUAUCUAUCCUUAGGACCUUUCUGAAAUUGUGAGUCUCUUUUAGGGCCCUUUUGUGCUAAAAUGUCAAUCUGCUUGGGAUCAAGAGAACCCUAAUUUCUUGGAUCAAAUAUAUUUACAUGAAAAGAACCACCGACAUCUGCAACAGGUGAAGUAUUUGAGUUAACAUCAAUACUAGUUGUCCCGAUGUCAUCACCAUUAUUAUCCAUAUCAAUGUUUGUGUUACCAAUAAGAUCAUCAUCAACCUCAUCAUUAUUUUCCUUCUCUGCUUGUUCAUCUCUAUGAUCAUUGCCAACAUCAGGGUCAACAUUAUUAUCAACCGUGAGGCCUUGAUCCCGUGAUUGAUUAUUAGAGGACACGUGUGGUACUUUUGCAACAAACUUAUCCAUGGCUCCUUUCUGUAAUCGACCUAACUUCUCUGUUUUUUGUUUUUUUCAAACGCUUUUGGUAACCGGAUUCAUGUUCUUUAUCUUGAGAAGACAUGACUUGGAUCUUGAAACAUGUAUAGAAAAGAUGUAUAACAGAAUUAACAACAAGCUAUUGGCAUUAAUUAAAAUUGCUAGAUGGAAUGCGAUCUGCGGGACUCACGGAUCGAUGGCCGACAGCUGGUAGAAGUGUCACAUGCUGAAUUGGAUGGGGAUGGAUCGAUGGAGGAUCGCCGAGCUUCAAGCGUCGUACUGGAAAAAGAGGAGAGGAGACGAACAGACAAGAGAUGAGGGCAGGAGGCGGCGUUGAAGAGGACUCCUCCACUCGACCUGGUGUCCUCGAUGGCUCGAUGCCUUGAUUGCUCGACGUCUGGGCUCCAUGGGAGACUCUAUGCAGCCUGGACGGCUAGACGCGCUAGCGGUAGCGGGGCGGUUUACGGGCUCAUGCUGGAUAUCGAGUAGCAAGCAUGCUGGCUGCUGCGUGCUAUGGGCUGCCUUGUGCUAGGAAUUUCAUGGCCCCUGGAAAUUGGCCAUGCUCCGUCGCACGGACUGCACGCCCAUGGGCCCAGGCCUGGAAGAAAUAAAGUAUAUCCAUGUGUGUUUAGAGAAAUCAUCUAUCAAGAUAAUAUACUAGUGAUGACCUCCUUCCAAGGCAAAGGGAGAUGGACCCCAGACAUCAGACUGAACAAGGUUGAAAGGACGCUUGCUCGUGCUCCUGCUCGCCGAUGGUGGUGCCCGAGUGUGCGGUGAUGUGGCCGUCUAACAAGGGAAGACAAGAUGUGGGAUCGAGGCAGCACACAUAGUAACCCACAACCAGGCAACGGAUGCCCAGCCGGACUGGUAGGGAGCGGAGGUGGAUACAAAGGUGGACUUUGAGCUUCAUAGGAGUCUUAAUAGUGCGCUUAUCAGUAAGAGCAAGAAAAUCCUGGAUAUACUUCUCUUGGGAAAUAAAGAAGCCAUUAAAGGUAGAAGAAACCUCAAUUUCAAGAAAGUAGUGAAGAGGACCAAGAUCAGACAUAAGAAACUCACUAUGACGAGCCUUCACAAAGGCAAUGUACUUAGAAUCGUUGUCGGUGAUGAUCGACAUAUAGAAGAAGAGUUCGCCCACGAGUUGAAAUGUAGACAAAAAGUGCAGGAGCAUGAGCACUCACCGAAAAACCAGCCGCAAUCACUAUUGAGAUGAAACGCUCAAAGGAGAGGAUGGACGUGGAUAUAAAGGACGAAACUCAUCAAAAGUCACAUCCCAAGAAAUGUGCAUCCUAUGACUGACAGGUUCCCAACACAAAUAGCCCUUGCAUCAUUGUAACCUAAGAAGACACAUUCAACAGACUGAGUAGUUAGUUUGGUGCAUCCAUGGGGGGCAAGAAGAAUGUAGCAAAUGCAACCAAACAAAGGAAGUGUUGAGUAGUCAAGAGAACAACCAAAAAGAUGCUCCAGGGGAAUGCCAGUCUGUAGAGCAGAGGAAGGAUUAAUGUUGAUGAGAUAGGUAGAAGUAGAAACUACCUCAACCGAAAAGUGAGGUGGAAGAGAGGCGGCAAUCAUCAACGCACGAACCGCCUCAAGAAGGUGACGUUGCUUGCGCUCAGCAACACCCUUCUGCGCAUGAGCACCGGGACAAGAGAACUGAGGAAGUGUGCCCUGCUCAACAAGGAAUCUACCCAGCAAAUGAGAGAUGUACCUAAGGAUCUUGAAGCCGCUGAGUUCCACAUGAAGCACACCUUGCUCCAUGCAUUGCCCGUCGCUGACUAUGUCGGUCCCGCUCUAAAGGAAAACGCGAAUGUACUUCUCAACCGCCGCAAGUAAACACAGAGGCAGUUGCAUGGCAAUGGCUUGAUAAACUGGGAUGGGAAGAAGUACUAAUUUGACAAGCAUGAGCCAGCCUCCCAUGUUUAGUAGAUUCUCAAUCCAAGUGGGGAUGCAGUUGAGAACUUUGUCUAGAAGAGGCUACAUGUGGACUGUGCGAAUCUUGCACAACAAGGGAGGCUAAGGUAGGUGCACGGGAGCGCUGGGAAAGCACAUGUGAAACUUAGCUUAAUCACUUAAAUUUCGGUGAUGCUGCAAUAGAUUGGUGGAAAGGAACACUUGUCGAAGUUGGUGCAUAAGCUCGACGUGCCACCAAGACCAGGUUGCCGCACGUCGAAGACAGGACGACGACCAUGUCGGCAUUGUACACUGACAUGAGGUGCUUGACGCCAUGCCAGCACGUUUGCUCUAACAUGACAAUGCUCUUUGCAUGGACCAGCAAGGCGUUGAGCACCUCCAGCACAAAGAAGAAACAACAAAGACAAAAGGGGGUCACCUUGCCACAUGCCAUGAAGGUGAAGAAUAUGCCUCCCGGGCACCCUGUUGAGGGUGUCUAUGGUAGAAUCAUCCACACCAACUCGUCGAACCUUCUGCCAGUGCCGGCGUGCCGUGAGACCAUAGGAUGAAGGGCCAUGAGACUGAAUCGAAUGCCUUCGCAGUGUCAACCUUGAGCACGAGGGUUGCGAUGUGUCUAAUGUGGAAGCCCUUAGUGGUGAGCAUGAAGGAGCUCUGGUUUUCCUUGAUCAGUUCUGGGAGCCGAGGCAUGACGUGGAGAGCAAGCAACUUGGAGAAAAGCCUACCAAAGGUAUGCGGCAAACAGAUCAGGUGGAAGUGCGUGACCUUGUUUGAGUUUUUCUUCUCUGGCACCAAGACGAUGAUGGCAUCGUUAGGCUCGACGAGGCAACCCGGUAUAAGCAAAUAGAGCUGGUGGACGACUACGGAAGCUCAUCUUCGAAGAUCUCCAAAGUGAGUUGGUAAAACAACUCUACGAGGGAUGGCGCAACCCAUGAUGGACGAGUAGUCUGCCAACGUCUACUCCUUAUCCUCAUGGGUCAAGGCGACAAUACUGUCACGGGCAAUGGCAACCAUUUGUUUUUUGCAGUGGCAGUGGCACGCAUGGAUGUAGAAGUAGCACGUGUUUGUGUCUCCCUCGGCUAGCUAGUGGAAGUGGAGGGCUGGCGGGGGAUGAUGCACUUGAGGGAGGCCAAACCAAGCAACUUAAGCUUCAACUCUUUGAGCAGAUUAAACUCCUUUUGGUACAGCUGUCGGGACUCCUGCACCGCGUUGAGCUGAAAAAUGAUUUCCUUAGCCAUGAGCUGUUGUAGCUUGAUGCUGCCAAUAUGCCGAUCGCUGCACAGCUGCAAUGUGUUGUCCAUAUGCUUCAGUAGGACACCCAAACGUUACAGUUGGCGAAGGUGCGACGACACAUGCUAGGCAUCAGCAACCACCUGGCGGAAGCGAUCAAAAUUCGGCUAGAUAUCCUUGAAGUGGGACUGGUGUGGUAUACAGGCUAAAUCUAAUGCCAUGGAGUAUCCGCGCGGAAAAGCAACUAGGAUGUCAUUACCCCCAAUUCGUUGAACAGAAUAAGCGGUCUGGCCGCACCAACAUUGCUGAUCGUCGCUCGUUGCUCGAAUUGUAGCGCCGCCUGAUGAGGUUGAUCUCGCGAAGCCCAAGGUCAUCAAGGAAAUGGUGAAAUCUGCCCAUCUAUCUUCUUUUUAGGUUAGCAUUAUUCUUACACGCCCCCGCUUGCUAGAUCAAGUUGGAGUCACCGGUAACGACCCAAGAACCAGGUUGCGAGGAGCGCAACUCAGCUUUUGGAGGAGAUCUGCAUCAGCAAAAGGACCACAUACGGUUGCCUAAGGUGAACACAGAGGGCAAAGCUUCGAGUCAGUGCAUUAAGGCCUCACACGUUUCAAGAGACCACGCCGAACUAAGGAUGAGAGACGAGAGUAACACAAGUAACUAAGGCGAUGAUCCCACUGCUGAAAAGAGUUGGUAGACAAGGCAACAGAGGUGGAGAGAUUGGCGGUGGUGGCAACGGAGGGAAAGUCAAGCCAGUCAAGCUCCCAGAGGCCCUGGGAGUUAUGACAUCGAGGACCAGCACUAGUGUGACGGUCCGAAACAAAGCAUGAGUCAAAGUCGAAAAUUACCCGACAACCAGAGCCAACAAUCUGACCACCAGAAAUGAGCUGCAUGGUAUGUUGAGGAACAUGAAAGGACAAAGUGCUAAGAAGUUUUUGGCCAUUAACAAGGAGGGAGAUACCUGUUAGGAAAUAUGCAACUGUAUUUCCAGGUGGCCAUAUGCCAUUGUAUACACGUACAAGUGUUUUACAAUAUGCAAAAAAACCUUUAUAGAGCGGGGAAAAUACAGAUGGGUACACGACUAAAUAUAUAGCUCUUAACUCCCCCUCAAACUCAUGGUGGAUCAACCACACCGAGCUUGGAGAGAUAGAUAUAGAAGUCGUGUUGUGCUCUAGUUUGGGCCUUCCUAAAGAAAUCUGCCAACUAUAACUCUGAAGGCACAUACUGAGGAGCAAUAACCCGAAUUUUGCACACCAGCACACACAAAAAAGCAUCAACACCAAUAUGCUUGGUGAGCUCACACCAGCACACGCAAAAAAGCAUCAACACCAAUAUGCUUGGUGAGCUCAUUCUUCGCUGGGUCGCGCGCAACACUGUGAGCACCUGUAUUGCCAAAUAAGAGCAAAGUAGGUGUAGUGACAGAAAUACCAAACUUCUGAAGUAACCACCGUAACCAAGUCACCCCUGCCGUCAAAAGAGCCAUAGCUCGAGGCUUAGCGUUUGCACUCAAAUGUGAAACUGUAGUCUGUUUCUUUGUCUUCGAGGCAGUGAGAGAACUACCAAGAAAAACACAGUAAGCAAAAAGUGAACGAUGAUCCGAGGGAUCACUAGUCCACGUAGCAUUUGAAUAGGCCUGAAGCUGUAAUGAACUAGAGCAGGGAAAGAACAUACGCUGAGAGAUCGUGCCAUGAAGAUAUCAGAGAACACGAAGGAGGAGGUGACUAUAGUGAACCAAUGUGGGUGCAAAGACAAACUGACUCAAAACUAUGGACGGGAUAGGAGAUAUCUGGAUGAGUAACAUCUAGAUAAACAAGACUCCCAACAAGAUGACGAUAACACGUCGGAGUAGACAAGGGUCACCAUCACUAGCAUGAAGGUGAACAUUGAGCUCCAUGGGAGUCUCAACAGUGCACUCAUCAAUAAGAGCAGCAUGAGCAAGAAGAUUCUGGAUAUAUUUUUCUUGGAUAAUAAAAAAGCCAUCAGAGGUAGAAGAGACCUCUAUCCCAAGAAAGUAGGCCAAAAUCAGACAUCAGAAACUGCUCACUAAGACGUGCCUUCACAAAGGCAAUAUACUGAGGGUCGUCGCCAUUGAUGAUCAUGUCGUUAGCAUACUCGGGGUCGGCGGAGACGCUCGGAGUCGUAGAGACGGUCAUUAGGCUAGCGGUGCAGGGAGCAUCGAGGCCCGAGCUCUAGGCGGUGCAUGCAUCGCGGGUGGAGGAGAGGUCGGCGUGGGGCGCAAGGAGCAGCAGGUGCGGAACUGUGGGGCUUUAUCUCCCCUUGUCCAGCACAGGCUGCUGAAGAAGAUGAAGGGAAGUCAGGGCGCCUCAAACGGCGGCUGCUCCCCUUUGGCUUGAACCAGAACCCCGGCUGCCACGUAAGUGCAGAGAAGCAGGCAGAGCAAAUGACGCAGCCGCCUCCUCCCCUCGCUUGCUUCCUCCUCUUGGAGCCCCUGUUCCAGUUCUCUCUCUCUCUCUCUCUCUCUCUCUCUCUAAUAUAUAUUACCUUGGGUGAAGAAUAACUUAUUCUUCAUCGCAGUCGAACGACCCACCGAGCCGGACUCCCUUCGUAUUCGCUUGGUUGCCCCACCAAAAGAAAAAAACAAUUCCCACCACGGCUGGCAGACAAUGUUUUUUUUAUGUUAGCGAGGAAAAGAAAAUUUGGUCGUGGGUAUUGCGAGCUAGCCUCCCCGCAGUUUCUGGGAAACGAGGGCUCCACUACCAGCAGCAUCGAGGUCGGAGGCGAGGGUCGUCGGUUUCGGUCGCGAGCGGGCGGUUUUGCGUUGGGUGUCCUCGUUGGCGCUUGGCUUCAGCCGCGGAGGAAUCGGGGCCUCGGCUUUGCAGCGACACAUUACAGCGUCCCUACUGUUGUGCUUCUGCUCUUGGUUGAUUCGGGGGUGGGCAUCAGCGUGUGAAAUCGACCGUAGAGGAUUCGGGCCUGGGGCAUCGCAUCUUCCUGCCGGUGGAAGGCCUGCGUCCCCUCGAGGGUGGUACGGAUUCUGGCAAGGACAGAGUUUCUCAGCCCUUUUUCAUUGCGUGUGUAUUCUUUAGAAUCACAUAUAUUCUUCAGUAAUGCUCCCAAAUCUCUGCUCACUCCAGAAGUCCAGAUACAGUGCAUCACAUAAUUUUCUUGUUUAGUUGCCAUUAGCCAACUUCACAGAAUUCAAGUUGGAUUUAUUUGAACGGCAGUGUCUCGAGCUUCUGGGGAGCAACAGUAAUUACAAGCUUAGCUAGCGCCAUACCAACACUUUGCCAUUGUGAGGAUUUGCAUCCCACCUCUACCCCAAUGUCACAAGUAAAAUUAUUGUGAUUAUCCAUCUGAUGACAUGAGUAAUUUAACUUUUGUUCUGUGUUUCAUGUUGUCUGGAGCAAUGCUUGGCUCCUAGCAGUUUCCAGAUGGAUUUAUUUCCAUUGCAAUGAGAACGACUGUUAAUAUUUGCUGAAUUUUUGGUCGACUCAACCCACAAACCAAGAGGACUUAACCCUCUUCUCCUUCAUCUCCUUGAUAAUCCAGCAAUCAGCAAGUUGAAAAGAUUUAAAUCAAGGUUCCAUGAUAAUUCUUUUGAAAUCUCCCUGUAAGGGCUUGACAGACCAGUUUUUAUCCGGAAGAAAGGCCUUUAGUGUGUGUUUGGAUCUGAAGAAACAAAGCAAGAUAUGGCUGUCAUCCCUCCUAACUUGGCUAGUUACUAGUAUCUCCUUGAUCCUUUGAUAAGGUAGUCUUGGCGAGAGUUUGGGCAAUAGAGAACAUAACUUGGCAAUUUCUGUACAUGUUUACUGUAUUCAUUUAUUCAGGAUUAGGAGCUUAAAUUCUGAAUUUUAUAGUUCAGGAGUAACUACCUCCUGAUGUACCGGUGUAAUUUAAUAGUUUCGUCGAAUGUGAAUCAGAAUAUAUGUUGUUAACAUAGUUGGGUAUAGAUAUCAUGCCAUCUUUCUUUUCUAAGGUGUUCGAUGAGUUCAAUGCAAUGAAACAGAUGAGCUGAACAUAUUCAAGGUUUCUAGCGGGAAUCACAUCGUGGCCAUUCUGGUGACAAUGGUUGUACUCCAGGUAAAAAAACAAAUAGUAUAAUUCUUCUAUUCCACAUAUGUAGUAGUUUUUGUUAUUGUUAUAUGUUGUUUCCUUUGUAUAUAUGCAAGCUCUUAUCAUCGAUUUCCUUGGCAAGUUAACUUCAACAAUCAUGUUAAGCUGGCAGCUAUGGUUGGUACUGACGUGAGCUUGUUUAGGUGCUGAUGGUCCAAGAAUUGUAUUUGUGGUGGAUGUAAUUAUGUUAUGAGGUGAAUUUGUAACUUAUUAUACUACAGUUAUGGACCAAGCCAUGAAUCAGUACCAAAAUUCAGCAUUGGUGCGAAGAAACGUGAACUUAUAAUGUUUUUUUUGUGAGAGAAAAGGGAAUUUUAUUCCAAUGUAA